rnacentral:rRNA from 1 species
ACUGAGGAACGAAAGCAUGGGUAGCGAAGAGGAUUAGAUACCCUCGUAGUCCACGCCGUAAACGAUGUGUGUUAGACGUUGGAAAUUUAUUUUCAGUGUCGCAGCGAAAGCAAUAAACACACCGCCUGGGGAGUACGACCGCAAGGUUAAAACUCAAAUGAAUUGACGGGGACCCGCACAAGUAGUGGAGCAUGUGGUUUAAUUCGAAGAUACGCGCAGAACCUUACCAACACUUGACAUGUUCGUCGCGACUCUAAGAGAUUAGAGUUUUCGGUUCGGCCGGACGAAACACAGGUGCUGCAUGGCUGUCGUCAGCUCGUGUCGUGAGAUGUUGGGUUAAGUCCCGCAACGAGCGCAACCCUCACUUUUAGUUGCCAUCAUUAAGUUGGGCACUCUGAAAGAACUGCCAGUGAUAAGCUGGAGGAAGGUGGGGAUGACGUCAAGUCCUCAUGGCCCUUACGUGUUGGGCUACACACGUGCUACAAUGGUAUCUACAACAGGAAGCAAAACGGCGACGUUAAGCAAAUCCUUAAAAGAUACCUCAGUUCGGAUUGCACUCUGCAACUCGAGUGCAUGAAGCUGGAAUUACUAGUAAUCGUGGAUCAGCGUGCCACGGUGAAUGCGUUCCCGGGCCUUGUACACACCGCCC